rnacentral:lncRNA from 1 species
AUCGCUCCUUGCUUUUCCUUCCUAUCAUUGGCUUGAAUAAUGGACAAGUUUGAAUAACACGUCUGGUCAAGAGAGAGGGAGAGACGAGGGAAAAUUGUUUCAUGCGCGUUGGACCGCAUUUUAGAGUAUGCGGGUGCAGAGGUAUAAAGCAUCUAUCAUAAAGAUGGAUGCAAAUAGAUGGUCUAUUUAAAACGGGUGUAACUAACCGUUCAAAUGUUCUCAAAUAGAUGAUCAACCUAAAAACCAGUAACUAGAAUUCCAAAUGUUUUCUUAAUAUAAUUAUUAUUUUUAGUUAUGAAUUUUUUCUUUUCUUUUUUUACAUUUAUGAUCUUCAUGUUAAAGAUUAUACAUUUUCUAAAAAUU